rnacentral:lncRNA from 1 species
UUGUUUCAGAGAUCAGUGAUGUUCAAGGAUGUUGCAAUUGACUUCUCUCAGGAAGAGUGGGAAUGCCUGGACUCUGCCCAAAGGGAUUUGUAUAGAGAUGUAAUGUUGGAGAACUAUAGCAACUUGGUAUCACUAGGUAAGGGUAUCUGUCCCUUGUAUCUCAGGAUCUAAAUUUUGAAUGGCUGCUUUCUCUGCUAUUAUUUCAAGGCUGCUUUUAAAUAAUUGACCUUUUUUUUUUUUUUUUUGUACUGAGGAUUGAACCUAGGGGCUCUUAACCCCUGAGCCAUAUCCCCAGCCCUUCAUAUAUAUAUUUUUUGACUUGGUCUUGAUAAGUUGCUUAGGACCUAGUUGCUGAGACCUGCUGGAAUUAUAGGUGCGCACCACCAUGACUUACUUAACUAAAUUUUUUACUAUUCAGAAAGGAAUGAUUUGAAAUUGCUGAAAGUAGAAUAGGUUUAUAGCUACCUUUAUCUUCUCCACCCUUCAGAAAGUCUUUAAUGCUGCCUUCUGCUUUAAUGCUUUAAAGUCUUUAAUGCUUCCUUGAUGAUCAAGGGGCUGGAUUUGAAUUCUGGGGUACUUGCAAAUGUUGUCAGAAAAAAAAAAAGGCUAUACAUUUUAUGCUUCAGAUCCACCAAAAGAACUCAGAAAAAUUCACAGGCCUCAGUCACAAAGAUCAAAAAAUAAAUGUAGAAAUAUGUAGUUUUUCUGAACAGAAGAGCUUCUAUUAUUUGUGUAGUGAUAGAGUGGAUCAAUGCAUUUUAGUAACAACUCAAGUAAACAUAAUAUAUUACUCAAACACAUUCUCUUACACAUGCUUAGUAGUUGAGAUGUUUGUGAAAAUUUUGAUUUUUGUGAAAAUUUUAUAUUUCACAUUGAAUGAAUAUGCUAGAAUCAUCUUCUGUUGGAAAAUAGCUUAGGACAAAUCUAUAAUUGUCUAAGAAUUUUUUUUCCUGAAGCAUUAUGAUAAGGAAGAGACCCUAAAUCAGAACUUUUAAUAAGUGAUCUGACCUAGAUUAUCACUUUAUUUAUAGUACUCCUUGUAUCACUGGAAUAUAACUAUCUCUUGCCCUUUCAUUAUUUGUUUAUCUGAAGGCUUUAUAGUUAUUGAUUGUUAUACUACUCGGCAGUGCUCAGGUUGAAUGAGAAAAAACGACCUAUGAUUUGAGAAGAAAAACCAGGGCUUUUCAGUGUGUUCUCCCUAAGGAAUUUCACCUAUUCCCUACUUCUUUUACCUGUUGUUCUCUUAUCAUAAUUUUCCCAAUUUCAAAGGAAAGGAUGGCUCCAGUUCUUCCCCAGUGAUAUAACCCUUUUUUUUUUUCCCUUUUCUAUUCUUUCUAUUUUUCUGGUACUGGAGAUCAACAGGGCCUCAUGUGAUAACCCGUUUAUAUAAACUUGAGAGUUGAUUUCCUUUACAGAAUUUUUUCAAAAAUUUAGACUUAGUAUCAUUGUCUCUACUAUUUCAAAUGUGUGUUCGUUUAUUCCAAAGUAUUUAUUGAAGGCCUAUUCGGUGCCAAGGACAAUAGCAGGCAUUGGGGGAAUAAUGACCUAAACAUGGUUCCUACUCUUCUGGACUCUACAUUCUUGUGGGAGAGAUACAAAAUAAAUAAGGAAACAAAAACAUGUUUAUGUGCAUGCAUAUUUAAUAAAACAAUAGCAGGUAGUGGUAAGCACGUGAAUAAAGUGAAGUAGGGUAAGCAAAUAAUAAUGGGGAAUGUGGUGGCCCUAUUUAGAUACAUAGAUUUUGGAAAAGCCUAUCUGAAGAGUUAAUAUUUGAACAAGACUUAACUAAAUAAGGACAUGAGUAAAACUAGUAUCUAGAUAAACAGGAUCCCAAGUAGGUACAGUAGCAACUGUAAGACCUUGAGGUGGGUAGUAACUUGGUUGUAGGAGGGACAGAAAAACAUUUCUAGAUAAACGUGAUUGUUAAGUAAAGAUAAUUAAGCAAUUUUUAAAAAAAGAGCUGAAAUUUUAUUCUCUAAGGUGGUGCCCUCUGAUUCCUGACCGAAGUAAAUGCAAAUCUUCUCUGGAGAAAAGUAAGAUGCCUUUAGAAUUCUCACAAAUUAAGACCAACAAAAGGUGAGCUCACAAAUAUUAUUAUACUGGAAAGAAGACAGGCCACACAUGAGUGAUAGAUAUCUAAAGAAACAACAGAUUAAGUGGCAAAACUUUUCAUAUUGGAAUUAGAUAUAAGCUAUUGGUUUAAUAUUUAAGGAAACAAAUCAUGAAAAGGACUAGUAAUAAGAGAUAAGGAAGAGGAGGGGGCUGGGGUUGUGGCUCAGCAGUAGAACACUCGCCUACCACGUGCGAGGCACUGGGUUUGAUCCUCAGCACCACAUAAAAAUAAUAUAAAGGUAUUAUGUUCAAGUAUAACUAAGACAACAAAAUAUUAAAAAAGAGAUAAGAAAAAGAUUUGAAAGAGAACCAAAUGAAUAAUUUCUAAAGGUUUUGUUCUUCUUUUAAAUAAUCAUUAAAUGAUUGAUAAAUUUACAUGAAAUUAUCCUCUUAUCAAAAGAUGUCAUAAAUAAAGUAGAAGACAGUCUGGGAUUAUGGCUCAGUGGCAGAGCACUUGCCUAGCACGUAUAAGGGCAUUGUGUUUGAUCCUUAGUACCACAUAAAAAAAUAAAUCAAACAAAAGUAUUGUGUCCAUUUACAACUAAAAAAGAAAGAAAGAAAGAAGACAGACCAGCUAUGAGUUAGAUGAAGAUGCUUAAGAUGCUUACAGACAAGAGUGAAAUUGGUACCCAGAAUAUGAAAGGAUUUUAUAAGAAAAAGUCCACAAAAGAUAUUUAUGGGCAGCUUAAGGAAAUGAGAAAUAGCCAGUAAGCAUAUAAAAAAGUGGAAAUGCAAAUUAAAAUCACAGUGAGUCAAUGUUUCACAUGCUGUACAUUGGCAAAAAUGAAGAAGUCUGACACUGCUAAUCAUCUGCAAUAUUUUGUCGCAUUCCAAGACUAAACAUUCAGGGUCACUCCAGGUGAACAGAGCUGCACAAAAUAAUCACACAGAGACAGAGAAAUACCUUUUUCUUUGGGUCCUGUGCCGGCUCCUCUGACCUUAGGGGUCCAUGGAAAGAGAAAGAAAGCACGCAGCUGAACCCUUCUCCCAAUAGGGGAGAAGCCAUUCAAAUGAGGCAAGAGGUCAGGUUUCAGGGGGUUGAGUCUAGCUUGGUGAUGUCUGCUGUCAGCUGAUUGACUGACAUCUAGAGAGGCCAUGCCCAUCUCAUGAGCUGUGUGGGGAUCCUGGCAGAGCAAGUGAAAAGACCAGAGCAAGGCCCCCCAAACAGAGGGGCAAUGUCGGUUCAGUUCACUUUUGUGCGCUCAGUGCUCAUAAUUCACACACACAGCCUAUGACUGGCUUGCCACAUUUCCACAUUCUCAUCACUUAAGACCAGGGUGCACUCAUUUCCUAUGUGGCAGCUCCUGACAACAUUUGAAGGCAAAAGUACUUCAUUAUUCAUAGUAGCCAAGGAGGAGGAAUAACUCAAGUGUCCAUGAACUAAUGAAUGAUGAAUAAAAUUUGGUAUAUCCUUAGAAUGGAGUAUUAUUUAGCAGUAAAAACAUAAAGUUCUCAUAUAUGCAUCAACUUGGAUGAAUCUUGAAAACAUGCUAAAUGGAAGAAGCCAGACAAAAAUCUACUUAUUAUAUAGUUGCAUUUACAUAAAAUAUCCAUACUAGGUAAACCAUUAGAGAUAUAGUGUAGAUUACUGGUUGCCCACCCUGGGGGGCAGUGAGAUAUGAUGAAAAAUGAGGAGUGGGAGAAUGGUAAGUGACUGCUAAUGGGCAUAGACAAUACUUCUCUUAAGAGUGAUAAAAUGUUUUCAAAAUUACAUCAUUGCGGGGGUGGGGGUGCUGGGGUUAUGGCUCAGCAGUAGAAUGCUUGCCUUGCACAUGCAAGGCUCUGGGUUUGAUCCUCAGGACCACAUAAAAAUAAAUAAAUAAGAAAGAAAGAAAUUUUUUAAAAAUUACAUAAUUGCACAGCUCUGUGAGUAUAAUUUUUAAAAACAGAAUUUUGUAUUUAAAAAAAAUGAACCAUAGGUGUGUAAAUUAUAUCUCGGUAGAACUGUUUGGUACUUAAGUGCUUUAAACUAUACUGAUAUAAUAUCACUUGACGUAACCACUUUGGAAAACAAUUUAAACUUGAAUGCAUUUUAAAAAUAGUUGAAGCCCUCUUAAAAACUCCAGAGCCCAAGCCACACUCUGCCAUGUCAUGUGACUAAAUCAUUCAGGGUCACUCCAGUUGAAUUUGAGUUGGCAUGAAAUAAUCCCACAAAAGCAGAGAAAAUACCUUUUUCUCAGGGUCCAGUGAUGGCUCUCGACCUUAGGGAGUCUAUUGGAAAGAGAGCUUGCACCUGAAUUCUUUAUUUUUAUAGGGGGCACUCAAAGGAAGGUUCCAUAGAAUAUUCUUUCCAAAUAAGUCAAGGGGUCAGGUUUCAGGAGGUUGAGUCUAGCUUUGUGAUGUCUCGUGGUCAGCUGAUUGACAUCUUGGAAGGCCACACCCAUCUCAGGUGCUGUGUGGGAUCAAAGACAGAGGGAGAGGAAAGUGCUCAUGUGUGUUGCAGGGUCCAAAGAGCACGCAACACCAGGUCAGUCUUCCCAUACAGUCAAAUGCUCAUAGUUCACAUACACAGCCCAUGGCUGGCCCGUGCAACAACACUCCAGACCAAUUAAAUCAUAGUCUUUGGUCAUAAGACACAAGUAUCAUUAUAUUUUGAAACUUCCUAGAUUAUUCAACUAUUUAGACAUAUUUGAUAAUUACUGCAGUGUAGCAUUAUCUGAGAAUUUUUUUUUUUAAUUUUAAGGUUCACUCCAUUUAAUUGUUAUUAACCAAUAAACUUAGAUGUAUUUUCUCCAUUUUAUGUUUUUUUUUGUCUUUAAUUUUCUAUGCUUCCUCUUUCAUUCUCUUAAUCAGUAUAGGUACAGUAUUUGUUAUUUGAUUUUUGCAACUCCUUUUUCUCUAUAGUUUGGAAGAUAUGCACUAUUUAUACACUUUUAAAGAUAAUCUUUAAAUUUUUGUCAUGUGCACUUAAUUCCUUCUAGUUAAAGUGAAAUUUUGUAGUUUUAUUAAUUGUAAUAAUAUUUGAAAUUUUACACAUUUAGUGGAUAUUCAAUAUCUUAGUGGAUAUUAGAAUCACUUAAAAAUAUUUUGUUUGCAUGCUGCUUUCACAAGUCUUGUAACAACCACCUGCCCUUCUUCCACUGCUAGGAUUUUAAGAAGAAAAAGUUGAAAACAGAUAAAAAGGAUAGAUAUGCCAUGAAAUAAAUGGGUACCCAUGGAGGCAGUAAGUUGAGGUUUUAUAUAGAGAUGAAAAAUUGACCUUUCUAUGUCAAUUAUAUAUUUCAUUGUUGCAGAAUUUUAAUCAGGAGUCUAAAUGCAGUGUAAAACUGCUUUUUCAAUACAUUUAUGAACACUGCAUACCAUCACUUAAAGAUAUCUUUGUCAGCUGGUAGGCAAGAAAAUGAAAUAGCCAGAUAUAGUGCAACAUGCUUGUAAUCUCAGCCACUCAGAGGACUGAGGCAGGAGGAUCUCCAGUUCAAAGCCAGUCUCAGCAACUUAGCAAGGCCCUGAACAAGACUUUGUCUCCAGAUAAAUAUUGAAAAGGGCUGGAGGUGUAUAAGUGGUUAACUGCCCCUGGGUUAAAUCCAUUGGUACCAAAAAAAAAGAAAGAAAGAAAAUGAAAUAGCAUUUCUGCUAAAUUUAAGUAUUUUAUGGAUAUUUCUG